AAAGGCUCCGGUUACUUGCGAUUUUUCAAAAUUGGGUUGAAAAAGAAAACAUGGGAUGCCCGACUCCAGUGAGUAAAAUUGAUAGGUUGAUAGAAAUAUCGAAUUAGUUAAAGGUUGACAGAAGUGUUAAACAAGGUGCCAGCACUCGCGGUUAAACCUUGGCUUCAAGUUGGUCAUGUUCGUGAAAGAGUGAAAGAAUAAAAAGAAAUAACAAGUAUAAGCUGCCCGGUUAAAUGGCUUGCGUUUUAUAAUAAAGAUCAUGUUUUCUAAAACUUAAAGCUCAAAAGGCUGAAUUAAAGACUGGGAUUCGAGACCCCAUUAUUAAAGUUGUCCUUAAGUUUCACGUGUAUUACGGGCGUUUCGCUUAAAACACAAAGGGGUUGGCGGUGUCUUAUAUCCUGUUAGGGGAACUUGGCGGUUAAUUCGAUAAUCCCCGAAAAUCUUACCUUAAGUUCUCUUGCCAUACCGCCGUCGAAAGUCUGUCUUGAAAAGAAAAGUCUGGGGCAAAAACAAUGCGGUGAGAGGUUGUUCUACGUCAGGUAAACGUGGCGGAUUCUAAAGGGCUUAGCUGAGUUACAAUUGUUUUUCAACAGAUGGAUACCGAGAAGAAAAGCUCGGUUUAAAAUGUACUUGUUAGUAAAAAGCCGUGAUCAAGGGUUUUUGAAUAGUGUAAGUAAGAUGCGUACAAACCGCCCAACGCUCUCGUAUAGAAAAAAAUUGAGAUAAGUUGAAACAUGGUAAGGGUAGUAAAAACUGUUCUUAUUCAUGG
rnacentral:rRNA from 1 species